rnacentral:rRNA from 1 species
UAGUCCACGCUGUAAACGAUGAGUACUAGCUGUUGGAUUCGGUGUAAAGGAUUUAGUGGCGCAGCUAACGCGUUAAGUACUCCGCCUGGGGACUACGGCCGCAAGGCUAAAACUCAAAGGAAUUGACGGGGACCCGCACAAGCGGUGGAGCAUGUGGUUUAAUUCGAUGCAACGCGAAGAACCUUACCUGGUCUUGACAUCCUGCGAACUAUUUAGAGAUAGAUAGGUGCCUUCGGGAGCGCAGUGACAGGUGCUGCACGGCUGUCGUCAGCUCGUGUUGUGAAAUGUUGGGUUAAGUCCCGCAACGAGCGCAACCCUUAUUGAUAGUUACCAUCAUUUAGUUGGGUACUCUAUUGAGACUGCCGCUGACAAGGCGGAGGAAGGUGGGGACGACGUCAAGUCAUCAUGGCCCUUAUGGCCAGGGCUACACACGUGCUACAAUGGAUAUUACAGAGGGUUGCGAAGCUGCGAAGUGGAGCGAAACUCAGAAAGGUAUUCUU